rnacentral:rRNA from 1 species
CCUACGGGUGGCAGCAGUGAGGAAUAUUGGUCAAUGGUCGGAAGACUGAACCAGCCAAGCCGCGUGCGGGAAGACGGUUCUGAGAAUUGUAAACUUCUUUUGUACGGGAAUAAACGCAGGUACGCGUCCCCGUAUGAGUGUAUCGGAAGAAAAAGCAUCGGCUAACUCCGUGCCAGCAGCCGCGGUAAUACGGAGGAUGCGAGCGUUAUCCGGAUUUAUUGGGUUUAAAGGGUGCGUAGGCGGUAUGUUAAGUUAGAGGUGAAAGCCCGGGGCUCAACCUCGGCAUUGCCGCUGAAACUGGCAGUCUCGAGUGGAGUUGAGGUAGGCGGAAUGCGCGGUGUAGCGGUGAAAUGCUUAGAGAUCAGGCAGAACACCGAUUGCGAAGGCAGCUUGCCGGGCCACCACUGACGCUGAGGCACGAAAGCGUGGGUAUCAAACAGGAUUAGAUACCCGAGUAGUC